AUGCACCUUUCCGGUUGCCACGGCAACCCGGGGAGAAGUUUUUAAAAUUCAGGCAAGGUAAUUUCUCCUCACCGCUGCGAUUUCGUUAUCGCUCGGCUUGCCGCUCCCGGGGGACGCGGCGUCCUGCCUCGCUCCUCCGCCGGCAAGGUGGGAUCUCAGAGAUAACGAGCGCCGGCAGCAGCCGAGCUGGGGAUGGCGGGGGCUGAGAGGGGGGAGCAGGGUGCCCCGGUGCUGGGCCCGGCUUCGGCAACGUGUGCUGGUACCUAACGAGCAGCGGGGGGGCUGCUCGCGCACCCCGGGCUCGAGGGGAGCUGGGGGGGGGCAGAAGGACGAGGGGACGCGGGCAGAUGUGGACGGACGGGUGCCUGGUGGGCGGAGGGACGAGGAGAGUAUGGGGUGGUGGGCCCCGUGUGACCCCUGGGGGUCGCCUCGGCAGGAGGUUGGGUUGCUGCCCCCUCCUUUCUCCCCACAGAGAGCCCGCGGCGUGCCUUCGUCCCCGGGGCCCCGGGGGACGCUCUGCAGUUCCCCCUCCUGCUCUCCUGGACCCCACGGCCAGGAGCCAGAGGACCCAGCCCACUGGGGGUCCUGGAGGUGGUGGGCAGAGGGCCCGUGCACCGCCGAUGUCCCCAGGAGCAGCUCUGCCACCGCCACCCCGCUGUCCAGGAGAAAUGACAAUGACAACGACAGUGCUCACCGGGAGAUGUUAUUCCAGCCAAAUUCGCACAGCGGGGCCCCGACCUCCAUCCUGCCCCCCGACAAAGGCCGCUCCUGGGCCUCCUGGGACUGGCAGCUCCGGGCGAGGGCUGCAGCGUGCGUGGGGGAUGCGCCGCCAGCCGCCCCCCUGGGAUCCCGGCUGUCACCACCCCCCGCGGGGGCUGCUGUCAGCCUGGGGGGACAGGCAGGCAGCCUCUCGCUGCCGGUACCUGCUGCAGCGCUUUCCUUAAUGAUGAGUUCGGCUCGCCUGUCCCCCCAAUUAACUCCGCCGCUCCAGCUCGUCAGGCUGCACUCCCGGAGCAGCGCCUCGGCGAAGGGCUGCGCACGCCGCUCAGCACAGCCGCACGGGCACAGCAGCGGGCCCGGCGUUUUCCCCCGCAGCCACCGCCGGUCGUUACGGAGCCGACGGGCGUCUGGAAGUUUGGAGGGAACGCGUCCGGGGCGCGUGGCGCUGGCAGCAGGGUGCAGGGCGCUGCUCCUGCGCCCGUCGCUGCCCCGGGGCCGGCAGGCAGCGCGGCCACGUCGCGCACAUCGAGCUGCCCGCCUGCCUCCUGGCCUCCGUCCGGGAGGGCAGCAGGUGACGGGAAAGCGAGACCCGGCCUGGACGGAGAUGAAAGGCGGCCUCGCAGCUGCGGACACCCGACGCCACCUGCCCCGGCGCGCGGGCGGGCCGGCAGCCGGGAUGUCCUUGUCCCCACGCGCUGCGCCCCGGCGGUGCCGUGCCAGCAGCUCCCUGCCCGCCGGGGAGCCCCCUGCUCCCCACGCCGCGGCGCAGAGCCCCCGGGGCCUCCUUCCAGAGAGAGGACAGGGCCCGGCUGUCCGUCCCAGCCGCCCGCCCGCCCCAUGCCAGCAGAUCCCCCGCACCCUCACCCACCCGAGGGUGCUCACCCCCCACAGCGGGCUCACUCGCAUGCCGUGCCACCGACCCUCCCCAGUCCCUAAGACCACCAGCCCAGGGAAUUUGCUUGUUUUUCCCAGCCUGUUGUCCCUCCCAGGUCGUGCCCACCCAUCUCUUGUGCUGCCAGCGUGGUACCCAGCCAGCUGUCCGUCCGUCCGUCCGCCCCCAGCAGUGCACACCCCCCUGCCUCCCUCCAGCCAAGCCAGAGGACGCCUGGGGCACGCUUGGGGGGCAGAGGGGCUCUGGGACACGGCCACUGGCCCUGCUGUCACCUGGAAGGGGUGACAAAACUUGUGCAAGCAUCCCUGCCCAGUGCCUCCUGGGGCCCCCACACGUUUUUCAAGGCUGGAAGGGGGGAAAUAGCUGCCUGUCACCAACCGCCCUGUCGCCUCACCACCUCCCUCCCAGGGCGCCAAUAAAUACCCUGCCCCACACCUGCGUGGUUAUUAG
rnacentral:lncRNA from 1 species